rnacentral:rRNA from 1 species
AAUAUUGGUCAAUGGGCGUAAGCCUGAACCAGCCAUCCCGCGUGCAGGAAGACGGCGCUAUGCGUUGUAAACUGCUUUUCCAGGGAAAGAAAACCCCCGACGUGUCGGGGCUUGCCGGUACCCUGGGAAUAAGCAUCGGCUAACUCCGUGCCAGCAGCCGCGGUAAUACGGAGGAUGCGAGCGUUAUCCGGAUUUAUUGGGUUUAAAGGGUGCGUAGGCGGAUUAAUAAGUCAGUGGUGAAAACCUGCAGCUUAACUGUAGAAUUGCCAUUGAUACUGUUAGUCUUGAGUACGGUCAAGGUAGGCGGAAUGUGUAAUGUAGCGGUGAAAUGCUUAGAUAUUACACAGAACACCGAUUGCGAAGGCAGCUUACUGGGCCAUUACUGACGCUGAUGCACGAAAGCGUGGGGAGCGA